rnacentral:rRNA from 1 species
AUGAACGCUAGCGACAGGCCUAACACAUGCAAGUCGAGGGGCAGCACAAGGAGCAAUCUGAGGUGGCGACCGGCGCACGGGUGAGUAACACGUAUGCAACCUGCCUGUAAGCGGGGAAUAACCCGUUGAAAGACGGACUAAUACCGCACAAUACUAAAUUACUGCAUGGUAAUUUAUUUAAACAUUUAUGGCUUACAGAUGGGCAUGCGCAUGAUUAGCUAGUUGGAGAGGUAACGGCUCCCCAAGGCAACGAUCAUUAGGGGUUCUGAGAGGAAGGUCCCCCACACUGGUACUGAGACACGGACCAGACUCCUACGGGAGGCAGCAGUGAGGAAUAUUGGUCAAUGGACGAGAGUCUGAACCAGCCAAGUCGCGUGCAGGAAGAAUGUCCUAUUGGAUUGUAAACUGCUUUUGCAGGGGAAUAAAGUGCAUCACGUGUGAUGUUUUGUAUGUACUCUGCGAAUAAGGAUCGGCUAACUCCGUGCCAGCAGCUGC